rnacentral:tRNA from 1 species
UGUUGAGAAAUGAAUAGUUCAUAUAUGAUUUCGGCUCAUAGUUUGGUGGUUUUAUCACCCUUAAUAU